rnacentral:rRNA from 1 species
UCCCAGCGAACUUGGCAGAGAUGCCUUGGUGCCUUCGGGAACGCUGAGACAGGUGCUGCAUGGCUGUCGUCAGCUCGUGUUGUGAAAUGUUGGGUUAAGUCCCGNAACGAGCGCAACCCUUAUCCUUUGUUGCCAGCGAUUCGGUCGGGAACUCAAAGGAGACUGCCGGUGAUAAACCGGAGGAAGGUGGGGAUGACGUCAAGUCAUCAUGGCCCUUACGAGUAGGGCUACACACGUGCUACAAUGGCGCAUACAAAGAGAAGCGACCUCGCGAGAGCAAGCGGACCUCAUAAAGUGCGUCGUAGUCCGGAUCGGAGUCUGCAACUCGACUCCGUGAAGUCGGAAUCGCUAGUAAUCGUGGAUCAGAAUGCCACGGUGAAUACGUUCCCGGGCCUUGUACACACCGCCCGUCACACCAUGGGAGUGGGUUGCAAAAGAAGUAGGUAGCUUAACCUUCGGGAGGGCGCUUACCACUUUGUGAUUCAUGACUGGGGUGAAGUCGUAACAAGGUAGGCGUAGCGAG